AUACGGAGGAUCCGAGCGUUAUCCGGAUUUAUUGGGUUUAAAGGGAGCGUAGGUGGAUUGUUAAGUCAGUUGUGAAAGUUUGCGGCUCAACCGUAAAAUUGCAGUUGAAACUGGCAGUCUUGAGUACAGUAGAGGUGGGCGGAAUUCGGGGUGUAGCGGUGAAAUGCUUAGAUAUCACGAAGAACUCCGAUUGCGAAGGCAGCUCACUAGACUGUUACUGACACUGAUGCUCGAAAGUGUGGGUAUCAAACAGGAUUAGAUACCCUGGUAGUCCACACAGUAAACGAUGAAUACUCGCUGUUUGCGAUAUACAGUAAGCGGCCAAGCGAAAGCAUUAAGUAUUCCACCUGGGGAGUACGCCGGCAACGGUGAAACUCAAAUGAAUUGACGGGG
rnacentral:rRNA from 1 species